UUUUAGUGGCGGACGGGUGAGUAACGCGUGGGUAACCUGCCUCACACUGGGGGAUAACACUUAGAAAUAGGUGCUAAUACCGCAUAAGCGCACGGGACUGCAUGGUCUUGUGUGAAAAACUCCGGUGGUGUGAGAUGGACCCGCGUCUGAUUAGCUGGUUGGCGGGGUAACGGCCCACCAAGGCGACGAUCAGUAGCCGGCCUGAGAGGGUGGACGGCCACAUUGGGACUGAGACACGGCCCAAACUCCUACGGAAGGCAGCAG
rnacentral:rRNA from 1 species